rnacentral:rRNA from 1 species
UGAGGAAUAUUGGUCAAUGGGGCGCUAGCCUGAACCAGCCAAGUAGCGUGAAGGAUGACUGCCCUAUGGGUUGUAAACUUCUUUUAUAUGGGAAUAAAGUGCAGUAUGUAUACUGCUUUGCAUGUACCUUAUGAAUAAGGAUCGGCUAACUCCGUGCC